AUGGGACGAGGUUUCGUGAGUGGAUGGGAACCAGAAAGAAAUGGGACUUUAACUUCCUGGCCACAAGAGAGACUGCUAUGGUGUGGGGGCAGGCAGUGGGGAAGCGCUAGGAAGGAAGAAUUACUUUCAGGGACACGGAAGAAUUUUCGGGAAGAAGACAUUUGUUGGCGGGCGUUCUGGAAGACUACCUGGCCCCCGGAACCUCGCGUCUUCCGUACCUGGUCCUCCCCGGCGGGGGCACGCUCCCCACCGCACCCCCCCUUGCGCCUGCGCGCGCCCGUGCCCUUGCUCUUAAUCCCGCCUCUUCCGGCCAUCUCUACGGGUGGGGUGCUGGGGGUGUGGUGGCCCUGGCAAGAUGGCGGCUCCCGAGAAGAUGAUGUUUCCGGAGAAACCAAGCCACAAAAAGUACAGGGCUGCCCUGAAAAAGGCGAAACGAAAGAAACGACGACAGGAACUGGCUCGAUUGAGAGACUCAGGACUCUUACAGAAGGAGGAAGAGGAUGCUCUUAUUGAAGAACAACGUCUAGAAGAAGAGAAGCUGUUGGAGAUAGAGAGGCAAAAAUUACAUGAGGCGUGGUUGCUUCGGGAGCAGAAGGCACAAGAAGAAUUCAGAAGAAGGAAGGAAAAGGAAGAGGCGGCUAGAAAACGGCAGGAAGAACAAGAGGUAGGAGGUUAAUCAGAUGGCCAACUAACUAGUUAACUAAAAUAGCUCUUAGGAGGAGUUAUAGAUAUUGAACUUAACAAAAAUGGUUAUUAGCCAUUUCACCAGUGUUAAAGUUUUUCAUUUAUCUGCCCUGUAUGUUAAGUGUUUUUGGAAAGUGAUUGACAAGAAUUACCUUUCCUUUUCUUUUUUCCGGUAAAGAGAAAGUUAAAGGAAGAGUGGGAAGAGCAGCAGAGAAGAGAGAGAGAAGAGGAGGAGCAGAAGCUGCAGGAGAAGAGAGAAAGAGAGGUGAUUCCUGUCACAGGAGGAUAAACGCACUGCGUAUCCUCUCGGUGCACAGAUAUGCUGUUGGGUGGGCUGCAGAGUAAGCUGCAGGCAUCACAGGGUUGGGGCUUCAUUUCCCUGUUUAGGCAGAGUCCUGCGUUAACACAGAUACACACUAGAGUUUCCUUAUCUCCUCUUUGGGUCUGUGCAGUGGCAGAUACCUUAAAUUAAGGUUUUCCUUCAGCUUCUUCCACUCCCCCUUUAUACCAGGGAUUGGCAGACUUUCUCUGUAAAGGCAGAGAGUCAAUAUUUUAGGCCUUACGGUGAAUAUGGUGUCCGUUGCAAAUAUCCAGCUCUGUUGGUGGGUUAUGAAAACAGCCAUAGAUAAUAUGUAAAUAAAUGGUUGUGGCUGUGUUCCA
rnacentral:lncRNA from 1 species